CCUACGGGAGGCAGCAGUGGGGAAUAUUGCACAAUGGGCGCAAGCCUGAUGCAGCCAUGCCGCGUGUAUGAAGAAGGCCUUCGGGUUGUAAAGUACUUUCAGCAGUGAGGAAGGGGGUGUCGUUAAUAGCGGCAUCUCUUGACGUUAGCUGCAGAAGAAGCACCGGCUAACUCCGUGCCAGCAGCCGCGGUAAUACGGAGGGUGCGAGCGUUAAUCGGAAUUACUGGGCGUAAAGCGCAUGCAGGUGGUUUGUUAAGUCAGAUGUGAAAGCCCGGGGCUCAACCUCGGAACUGCAUUUGAAACUGGCAAACUAGAGUACUGUAGAGGGGGGUAGAAUUUCAGGUGUAGCGGUGAAAUGCGUAGAGAUCUGAAGGAAUACCAGUGGCGAAGGCGGCUCCCUGGACAGAUACUGACACUCAGAUGCGAAAGCGUGGGGAGCAAACAGGAUUAGAUACCCUGGUAGUCCACGCCGUAAACGAUGUCUACUUGGAGGUUGUGGCCUUGAGCCGUGGCUUUCGGAGCUAACGCGUUAAGUAGACCGCCUGGGGAGUACGGUCGCAAGAUUAAAACUCAAAUGAAUUGACGGGGGCCCGCACAAGCGGUGGAGCAUGUGGUUUAAUUCGAUGCAACGCGAAGAACCUUACCUACUCUUGACAUCCAGAGAACUUUCCAGAGAUGGAUUGGUGCCUUCGGGAACUCUGAGACAGGUGCUGCAUGGCUGUCGUCAGCUCGUGUUGUGAAAUGUUGGGUUAAGUCCCGCAACGAGCGCAACCCUUAUCCUUGUUUGCCAGCGAGUAAUGUCGGGAACUCCAGGGAGACUGCCGGUGAUAAACCGGAGGAAGGUGGGGACGACGUCAAGUCAUCAUGGCCCUUACGAGUAGGGCUACACACGUGCUACAAUGGCGCAUACAGAGGGCAGCCAACUCGCGAGAGUGAGCGAAUCCCAAAAAGUGCGUCGUAGUCCGGAUUGGAGUCUGCAACUCGACUCCAUGAAGUCGGAAUCGCUAGUAAUCGUAGAUCAGAAUGCUACGGUGAAUACGUUCCCGGGCCUUGUACACACCGCCCGUCACACCAUGGGAGUGGGCUGCAAAAGAAGUGGGUAGUUUAACCUUCGGGAGGACGCUCACCACUUUGUGGUUCAUGACUGGGGUGAAGUCGUAACAAGGUAACC
rnacentral:rRNA from 1 species